rnacentral:rRNA from 1 species
AGUGAACGCUGGCGGUAGGCCUAACACAUGCAAGUCGAACGGCAGCACAGGAGAGCUUGCUCUCUGGGUGGCGAGUGGCGGACGGGUGAGGAAUACAUCGGAAUCUACUCUGUCGUGGGGGAUAACGUAGGGAAACUUACGCUAAUACCGCAUACGACCUACGGGGGAAAGCAGGGGAUCUUCGGACCUUGCGCGAUUGAAUGAGCCGAUGUCGGAUUAGCUAGUUGGCGGGGUAAAGGCCCACCAAGGCGACGGUCCGUAGCUGGUCUGAGAGGAUGAUCAGCCACACUGGAACUGAGACACGGUCCAGACUCCUACGGGAGGCAGCAGUGGGGAAUAUUGGACAAUGGGCGCAAGCCUGAUCCAGCCAUACCGCGUGGGUGAAGAAGGCCUUCGGGCUGUAAAGCCCUUUUGUUGGGAAAGAAAUCCAGCUGGCUAAUACCCGGUUGGGAUGACGGUACCCAAAGAAUAAGCACCGGCUAACUUCGUGCCAGCCGCCGCCGUAA